AUAAAAGUAGCCUAGUGGACAAGGCAUCUGCCCGGUAAGCGGAACACUGUGGGUUCAUUUCCCAUCCCUGGACACUUUUAUU
rnacentral:tRNA from 1 species